CCUACGGGAGGCAGCAGUGGGGGAUAUUGCACAAUGGGGGAAACCCUGAUGCAGCGACGCCGCGUGAGUGAAGAAGUUCUUCGGCACGUAAAGCUCUAUCAGCAGGGAAGAAAAUGACGGUACCUGACUAAGAAUCCCCGGCUAACUACGUGCCAGCAGCCGCGGUAAUACGUAGGGGGCAAGCGUUAUCCGGAUUUACUGGGUGUAAAGGGGGCGUAGACGGCGGUGCAAGUCUGGAGUGAAAUCCCAUGGCUUAACCCUGGAACUGCUUUGGAAACUGUGCGGCUAGAGUGCAGGAGGGGCAAGCGGAAUUCCUAGUGUAGCGGUGGAAUGCGUAGAUAUUAGGAGGAACACCAGUGGCGAGGGCGGCCUGCUGGACUGUAACUGACGUUGAGGCUCGAAAGCGUGGGGAGCAAACAGGAUUAGAUACCCGGGUAGUC
rnacentral:rRNA from 1 species